UAUCACAGCCACUUUGAUGAGC
rnacentral:miRNA from 2 species